rnacentral:lncRNA from 1 species
CUGGAGGAGCAAUCUGGAGUGAUGGUGAUGUGGUUUUUGACCUUCUAGACCAGAGAUUUGUACUCUUGUGACUGAAGAUAUCCUGUGGCUAUACAGAUUAACAUUGCAGAGGUUAAAUGGCAAACCUGAAUUGCAUGUAGCAAGAAACUAGGGAAUUUUUCAAGUCCAACCAAUACUCUACUGAGGACAAUGAUCUCAUCUAUAACAGCUGCCUGGCACACCAUGUCUGCCUAGACUGUUUUUCUCUAUUUUAUACCCUCUGCCCUAAGAGCCACACUGGGCUUCUCCAAAUGCUAAGAUGGGACAUUAUUUCAUCCGAUAAAAAGCCACCCAAUACCAGCAGAGGUUCAGCAAGGGGUAGACAUGGUGACCCAUAGAUGCUCUUGUCACUAUCACUGAGUAACAUAAGCCAAGCUGGAGAACAUAAAGCCACAACAUGGUACUACUAAUUGUAUGCUCUUCUUAUACUUCUUGAUUCCUAGGUCUGACCUUGCAGGGCAAAACAUCCAGAAUCAGAGUCUAAACAUUUGUCAGGUGCCACUCUGUACCUAGCACUGUCCUGGGCCUGGAAACGUCUCACAGGUUCCAGAGCCAGCUGGCCUGGGAGCUCACAGAUCUUCCUUACCACAAGAUCUUCAGUAAUUCUGCUGUCUCUCCCAUUAAAGGUGUUUCCGGUGGUUUCACUUUUAUUGUGAUUCAAAUGAUUCCAUGGUUCAAUUCUAUUGUUGUUCUGUGGACUGCCCUCAAGAGGCUGCUCCUACCAACGGCUUCCUGAGACAGUUACUUCAUGAAAAAUAUGUUAUGUGUCAAAUUAACUUCACAGUGCAGACCUCAGCUAAGCAGACCCAGGACAUCUCCCUAACGGAACUUGAAAGGCCUCUGCUUGCUUCAAUUUUGUUACUAUCCCAUUAGUCAAAGCAAAUCAAAGACUAAGCUUGAUGUCAAUUUCUGAAGGUGCCAUCAAGUAACAGUACAUAGGUGCCAAAGGCCAUGGGAGACCACAUCUUGCAUCAGCGUGACCUGGAUGUGAGACAUGGACUCAAAGGACAUCAUUUUGGAACUUUAAGGUUUAAUGGCUGCCUUAUUGAAUUUUGGACUUGCAUGGGUCCUGUAGCCCCUUUGUUUUGGCCAAUUUCUCCAAUUUGGAAUGGGUGUAUUUACUCAAUGCCUGUACCCUCAUGUGUCUAGGAAGUAACUAACUUGCUUUUGAUUUUACAGGCUCAUAGGCAGAAGAAACUUGCCUUGUCUCCGAUGAGACUUUGGACUUGGACUUUUUGGUUAAUACUGAAAUGAGUUAAGGCUUUGGAGGACUAUUGGAAAGGCAUGAUUGUGUUUUGAUAUAUGAGGAUAUGAGAUCUGGGAGAAGCCAGGGGCAGAAUGAUAUGGUUGUGCUGUGUCCCCACCCAAAAUCUCAUCUUGAAUCAUAAUCCCCAUAACCCCCAUGUAUUGAGGGUGGGACCAGGUGGAGGUAACUGGAUCACAAGGGCAGUUUCUCCCAUGCUGUUCUCAUAAUAGUGAGUGAGUCUCAUGAGAUCUCAUGGUUUUAUAGGCAUCUGGCAUUUCCCCUGCUUACAAUCAUUCUCUCUCCUGCCACCCUGUGAAGAAGUGCCUUCUGCCAUGAUUGUAAGUUUUCUGGGACCUCCCCAGCCAUGCAGAACUGUGAGUCAGUUAAGCCUCUUUUCUUUAUAAAUUACCCAGUCUCAGAUAUUUCUUAAUAGCAGCAUGAAAAUGGAUUUAUACAAUAGGACAUAGACACAAAGAGUCCAUUUAAUUGGGGUCAUUGAUGCAAUAACUGUACCACAAUGGAGAAAGAAGAAAGGAUAUGUUGGGCUGUCUUCAUAGGAUGAAUAAAUUUUUACAUGGUACAGACAGGGAAAGGAUACUCCAGGUAUAAGAGGAACAGAAAUACAGUUUCUCUGUUUUAAAGAAUAGAUUGGAAGGAAGUGAAAUACUGGAAGCUGAGAGAGCAGCUAGGAACUGUUGCAGUUGUGUAAGUAAGAAGAAACGAAAACCUGAACCAACAUGACUGAAGCAGGAAAGAAAAGAAGAGGAGAAACUGAGAGGCAUCAUGACAGCAGAAUCCAUAAGAAUGAAUUUAUCAUAGUGGGGAAGAAAGAAGAAUCAAAUAUGACCCAAAGUAGAUAUGUUGAGUGUCUGAGUUGAAGACAAUGCUAGUAACCAGGCCAUAAAAGAGAAGCAAGUUUGAAGGCAAAGAGAAAGAAUGGUUCUGUUUUUGACAUCUGUGUUUAGAGAUAACUGUGAUAGUAGUGAGGUCUAGUAGUCAUAAAGAAGAAAAUGUUCAAAGAUUAACGAACACUGUUGACAGCAGUUGUAGUAAAUUGCAAAGAGAUAUGAAUAUGGAGCUAGAACUGCUGGAGUCCCAGCUCUUCCCCUUAUUAGCUGUGUGAAAAUAUGAGGACGAAGCAGAGAAGAAAAUAUGGCAACACAGGGGGUUACAAAUUGUUCAUUUACUGAAGGUUUCGAAUUCUUGUGUUUGCUUUUACUUUAAUGCUGCCCCUUCCCUCAGCCCGCACCACCUUGUUCAUUUUAUAAAAACCAGUUGUGCCUACAAAAUUCUAGCAUGGUGGGGGAGGGAAAAGAUCUGUGUAUCCAGAGAAACAUGCAUUUCACCUACAGGUUUCUUAAACCAUUUGGUAUUUUUUUUAUAUCAACAAAUGCUGUUCAGAUAAGCUACUGCUAUAAUUUUUCCCUUAAACCUUUAAGUUACUAUAAUUUAAAAAAUAACCUUAGUUCUUUUGCAUUUAUAUUAAGACUUAUUUUUGCAUUAUUAUUUCAUCAGGAAAAACUUGACUCAAAUAACUUUUAGAUAUGAUUUCCAAAAGGUGACUGAUUUGGUAAAUGUGAUUUUAUUGGAUUUGUAUGCUAAAAAGUGUUCCAGAGAAAGACAUGGACAAUUUCAUAUUGAAAGUGUAUGGAAAAGCAGAGGGUCAGUGUACCAAACAUUGCCUCCACGAACCACCUUCAGUAAUGUCCCUACUAUAGAAAUUUAGGUUAAGUCUAUGGGGGACAGGGUGCAAAAUUACUAAGGAGUCUUUGGGGUAACCAAGUCAAGGCAGGCCAGUCAUAUUCCUGAACAGGACUAAAAUUGAGUUAGGUUUGAGAGAGCAGAGAGAUGUAGAUUGAAUGAGAGAGAGAAAGCAAUGCAGAAGAAGGACUGGCAAAGGAGAUGGUUCAUUAUGAUGAUCAGCAGGUGUUUGCAACUGGAACCAAGAGUGGAUGGAGGGCAAAAUCCUGAGACCAUCCAUAGCUCCCUGGACUAACCUUUGAAGAUCACACUCAUUAGCUCGGCCUUUACAGCCUUCCUGGGCUUGUCCCUUACCUCUCCAAGCUUCUCCUCCUUACUCCAGCCAGAUAGGACUACCUAUUAUCCUACGAGCCCACUACACCUCAGAACUAGAGUUGCCAUCAGCCAAAAUGUAGGGGGCAGACAAUGGAGAAUUCAGUCCUCAUCACUGGUUGUGCAGUAGUGUCUCCUGUGAUGUUUUGUCAGCCUUGUUGUUUGUUUUCAAUGUAUCUGUCCUCCUGCCCAAAAGAGAGAAGACAGAUAUAUUAAAUUCCUUGGCAUCAGACUCUAAGUCUAAUGCAAGUUUGUGGAGACAAUAAUGAAGAAAAUCAACAUUUGUUUUGAGGAUAAUUUUAGUAAGUCCAAUAAUGAUUGACACCCCCCUACAGAAACGUGACACACAGGUCACAGAAAGUGUCACAUGUUUCUCCUGCAGGUGGCAGAUUAAUGACUUUUUGAAAGCUGCCAUCUUCAAGACGCUGCAAAAAGUAUCCUAGCCAGACAUCACAAAAGAAUAAAAGUCAAUGAUCCUCUCCCAAUCUUUUAGCAUCAGCAGAGGCAUGCUUGGGCUGUGACUCAGUUAUAUUUGCUGUGAGGCUGUGUUCUAAAGAAGGAACAUUAGGCUCCUGUUCUCUUUUUUAAAGGUAUUAACAUGAGAACGGCCCUGUAAGCAGGACAAAACAACAGACCAAAUUUGGUUUCCAAAUAGUCUGCAUGUAGGUACUAGCCAGCUUUUUAUAGGAAUUGCUCAGAAGACAAUCUGCAAAGAUGAAUGCAAGGGAAGCCCUUUCCACUGAAAGAAAGGUGUUGCUGAGUGUCCUGAAGACCACCCUCAGGUUCAAGGAAUUGCUAGAAGGACUCACAGAAUUCAGAAAAGCUAUUAUCCUCACUGUUACAGUUGAUUACAGCAAAAGGAUACAGAUUAUAGGGCAGAGUCCAGGGGAGACCAGGCACAAGCUUCCAGUGGUCCUCUCCCAGUGGAGUUGUAUGGAUAGCACUUAAUUCUCCCAGUAAUAAUGUGUGACAAUGUGUAUACAGAGUAUUGCCACGCAGAGAAGCUCAUCAAGACUUAGUGUCAGAGUUUUACUGGGGGUCAGUCAUGUAGACAUGGAGCACCAGUGUGGCUGAGCUUAGUUACUCAACCUCCAGCACCUCUAGAGGUUAAACUGAUACUGUACAGCCCAAGGCCCCCAUCAUAAAUCACAUUGUGAAUAUAAACCAUCUGGUAUGGUUCAAGGCCACAGGUGAACAAAGAUAUUCAUGUCAAGCAGGAUAUUUCAAGGGCUUAGAGUUUAUCUCCCAAGAGCUGGACAAGGGCAGAGCCUUUUUUGAAAUGUGCAGGGUUUGGACAUCCCAGUCCUGCUGAGUCAAACCUUUACUGCACAGAAGGGAGCAACGUGGGGUAUACCUUCAGGACCAUUCACUGGACAAUUCUGCUUUUCUUUCCACAAAGGGAAGGGAGCUCAGCUCUGGGGACUCUCACAUUCCUUACUCUUAUAGUGAAAGUCAAAAGUGAAAUCCAAUCAUACAUAGCUUUGAGUUUCCCAUUUUAUGUGCAAAUAAAGCACAAUAUUUACAAUCUCACAUAUUAUAAUAGAAUCUAAUAUAUACACUAGAAAACAAGAAUGAAAACCCGUCUUUCAGUAUUUUCUAUGCUAAUUAACCUUCUACUAAACAUUUUGAAAAGUUAAGAAAUAAUCUUUAGCCUUGAAAUACUCUUUAGCUUUUGUAUUUUCCUUCCUCCUUCUGUGCACUUGGCUAUCAAAUACUUGUUAAAAUAUAUAGGAAUAUUGUGUUGAACUUUUGUGAGUAAUCAAAUGCAAGCCAAAACAUCUUAAUUCUCCCAAAAAGAGACUCAUAUAAUAUAUACAUAAGAAUCCUGUCCCUCAGAUUACACUCUGUGAAAUCUCUGUUAUUUUUUGACACAAAACUCUAAAGACCUUUAUCUGUCUUUUUGCCUGCCUACUUUAAAAUAGUUGCAAAUUAGAUCUGUGCUCUUUGAUUCAGGUUGAUUUUUGGGCAUCUGUAUUUAAUUCUUUCACUAAAGGGCAAAGGCAGCUUCUAGAUAUGCUAAGAAUCCUUUCUUUUUAUGGGUGGAGAGAAAAACAGUCUGCAACACUAGAAGAACUAAAUAAGGAUGGGAGGUUUGCAUGGAACCUGGACUCUCCCACACUGUACCCAAGCCCAUGCCAAAUUUGUACAGGUGUGCACCACAUGAACAGAUGAGCAAGUGUGAUGAGAAGAGCUCUCAGGAUCUGACUGAGCCCAUAAUGAUGCAUUUCUCCCAAGGUGGACCUAAGCAUCUGUUAUGUACUUGAAGUAUUUGUUUACUUGAUAGCAAAAGGGUACUUAAACUGCUAAGCUUAUACCCUAUUAGGGAUUAUGGGGAUUUUUGUUGUUGUUGCAGUUGUUGUCUUUUUCUUAAAGAAAAAGGACACAAUGAGAUGACACAUCAGGGGUGUCAAUGUAAAGGGAGUACUGAGCCCACUAGAAGGAGCACAGGAUUUGUGGUGUUCUAACACUCAGAAUAUUACGGUGAUUAUAUCACCACAAUUUUGUUCUGGGAACACCUCGUUACUUGGGAGGAAUGUUAAAAUUGUAAAGGUUAUUUAAUGUGGCUUUUAUAAUAAGAUUUUUGAAGAGAAAAAAUGUUUAUUUGGAGAAUAAGUAUAUGAAGGUUGUUCCCCACUCCAGAUCCUGGAUAUUCUUAAAGGUAUUUCCUCAGUAAUCCUCAUGCUAUAGAUUUUUUGCUCUCCUACCAACUUUGCAGGCUCCUGAAUCUGAUUUUGUCCCAUCUAAUUUUCCACUCAUUUGACAAAUGGCUUUUAGUGCCAGACAUUCAAUUAAUCCCUGCCCCCAUGGAGCUUUAAUUCAGAUAGGCAAAACAGACCAUUAAUAUAAUAUAUAUACAAAUUCAGUAUGUUAGAAUGAGAUGAGUGUUAUAGAGAAAACUAAAACAAGAUGAAGGCACUGAGAAAGUGCCAAGGGAUUGAACCAAAACUUUUCUUUCUCGUGUUCCUCCUUUGUACUUCCCAGCUAUUCUCAUGUGCUGAUUCAGUUUGAUUUGUUGCCGGGAUAAAGUACAUCCUACCUCUUUCUCCCUUGCCUUCUUACUGUGUGUACAAUGUGCC